rnacentral:rRNA from 1 species
UGAGGAAUAUUGGUUCAAUGGGCGGGAGGCCUGAACCAGCCAAGCCGCGUGAGGGAAGAAGGUACAGCGUAUCGUAAACCUCUUUUGUCAGGGAACAAAGGCGGGGACUAGUCCCCGGAUGAGGGUACCUGAAGAAAAAGCAUCGGCUAACUCCGUGCC